UGUUAUGUACCCUGUGCUCCCUUUCUUCUUCAUCUUCUCUUCCCUUGUGAUGGCUGGAUUGUGAGCUGGAUGGAUGAAGUCAAAGCAGCUGUCCUAAAGUAUGAGGUGGAAGCCACAUGUUAAGAAUGGUAGAAUAAUAAAAGUUUAGGCUUCACCCUACCAGCCUUGGACUGUAAAAUUCUGGAUUCUGUUAUAUGACAAACAGACCUGAACCACUAUUAUUUUAGUGUUUUUUUGGUCUCUCAAGGUUCAUAUAAACCUUAACUGAUAUAAGAUCACAUGGCCAGUUACUAACAGCACUGAACUUUCCGCUCAAUUGUCUUGACUCCAGAUGCAGUUGUUUUUAUUUUACCCCACAAUGACUGGCACUUCCAAUGCCUCACUUUCAGGGCUUCUGUGAGGAUAAAAUGAGGAAACAGAACCUUACAGGAAAGGAGAUUCUGGGAUACUCGGUUGCUGCUUCGGUAAAUUGACACGAUAGAAAUCACCAUGGUGCCUGUCUUGCUCUGGAUUCUUUGAAAUGGAAACUGGAGAAAUCCCUCAAUAUCUAUUUUUCUCUUUCAUCUGUACCAACUGAGGCCUGAUUUUGUUCAGAGAGGUUUUCCUCAUUAUGACUAUGGCAGACCAGACUCAACAGGUACAUUGGGAGCAGGCCACUUAAGGAUGAGCAAAUUGAGCUGCAUUUAGGAUUUGUGCAUCCUAACAUCUUAAAAUGUUUUUCUAACAUUUUGGGUUUGGCAUAGCAAAGUGUGCCAAGAUUCCUUUCCUUUCAUUUUUAAACCCACAUGUAUUUUCAGGGAAAUUAAGCUCAUAUGUUUCUGAUUCAUUUACUGUAUAACUCAUCAAAAUAUUGUUUUAUAACAGUUCUUGGCAGUCCAUGAAACCUUUUAAAAUAUAGACUUUUCCCCUCUUGCUACCAAGGAAGCCAUGCUUUACUGAGAGCACAGCACCAAUUAACUCUGAAGGGUUUUCCAAAUAAGCUUCACAUGGAUGCUAAAGACCUAAUUGGGUUUUCUGUGAUCAACAAGAAUGCAAGUCAACAAAUACCGAUUGAACAUACACUAUGUAUUGGAUUUUAGGGGAUGUAGAGUGAUACAGAUAAAUGGGAAGUGACUCCCACGAUUUAAAUAGCUGCCAUGAUGGAGACAGAUAAAUGGCAGCCAAAACAUUUAUUGAGCACUUUGAAUAUGCCUGCUACUGGGUGAAGUCUUUUAUAAACAUUACUUCAUGUUAUCUUCUUGACCAAUUUAUGUAUUAUUAUCCUUAUUUUAUAUAUAAGAAAACUGACACCUAGAGAGUUUACUGAGUCAAGUCAUAUAGUUGGUUAGCAGUGGAUUUAAGACUAAAUCUCUAGCAGUUUCAUUGCAGAGACCAGUCUUUUAACAUUAUUAUAAAACUUGGAAAUUAAGAUAUAGUGAGACUAAGCUAAUGCCCAGCUUUUUGGAGGUAGAGAUGGAACUUCAUUAAUGUCAUAUAAUUUAUUUCUGUUUAAACUUUAUUUCUGACCACAGGACUAUUUCCUUCUGGUCACUCUGCUUGCAUUUUGGACAUUCUUUGGAAAAGGUCAUGAUUGUGCAGUAAAAAGUCUUAUUAAUGCCCUUUGGGUAGCUUAUCUGAGAUGUUGAAUACAUGAAUGAGUGUUCCUUCUCAUAGAGUGGAGCUAUCUCAGAAAAACUCUGUCAUGUUUGCACUACAACCAACCAUCUCUGUACUAUGCUUUCUAUGACUUACUUUUUAUGUGAGAAUAUCAUUAAUUUUAUUGAUAAUAAAA